UCGCACUUGCAGGCGACGACCCGGUGCCCAGUAAUCAUCCCUCUCUAGUCUUCAAUCAUCGAAUUGCACGACGCAGCUUAAGAAGUCUUCUUAUUUUUUCCCGGGCAGAUAAGCUGAUCAAUCAACAGAGGAAAAAGAAGACGUAAAUUCGAAAUGGGGAGUUUGGGGAAAGCAGUUUGCACCUUGGGAUUUUGGAUUCGAGAGACGGGCCAAGCAAUGGAUCGUCUCGGCUGUCGCCUCCAAGGAAAUUACUACUUCCAAGAACAACGUUUGGGGAGGUAAUCCGGCCAAGUUCCUCAGGAAACUUACAGGCAAAGAGAUAGCCUUCAUCUCCCAGUCAGCCACCAAUUAUACAAACCUUGCAAAAGUACAUGCUGCUGAAAAUGUGAAGCCCUUUGAUGAGAUCGAGUUUGAAAAGAUGCUACGAAAGAAGUCCUCCCAUCGUGAUGAGGAGUAUGAUUCAAUGAUUGGUGUCGUCCGUGAAACUCCCUCAGAACUUAUUCUUCCAGAUAAUAUCCUACCCGAUAAAGCUCCAAAGGCCGCUCGGUGACGGUGAGACAUUUCAGAGGCAGUUUUUGGAGUAUCCCGUCUGUGCGAAUUUACAGAGAUUGGUUCAUCUCUUUUCAGAAUAUAGUUGAUGAAUGACGAUGUUUUGCUUGCUUUACAUACAGCUUCACCUUGAAUUUGUUGAGUUAUACCCUCACAAUAACAGAUAAUUUCAUGUCAUUGACCUGAGUUUUGUGUCCUUAUUUUGGUGCUUAAAAAAUUAUUUUGAUGCAAUAUAUCAGUAGCUAUUCAUAUC